rnacentral:rRNA from 1 species
AGAGUUUGAUCCUGGCUCAGGACGAACGCUGGCGGCGUGCUUAACACAUGCAAGUCGAGCGGAAAGGCCACUUCGGUGGUACUCGAGCGGCGAACGGGUGAGUAACACGUGAGUAAUCUGCCCUUCACUUCGGGAUAGCCCUGGGAAACUGGGAUUAAUACCGGAUACGACCGGCGCCUGCAUGGGUUGUUGGUGGAAAGUUUUUUCGGUGGAGGAUGUGCUCGCGGCCUAUCAGCUUGUUGGUGGGGUAAUGGCCUACCAAGGCUUCGACGGGUAGCCGGCCUGAGAGGGUGACCGGCCACACUGGGACUGAGACACGGCCCAGACUCCUACGGGAGGCAGCAGUGGGGAAUAUUGGACAAUGGGCGGAAGCCUGAUCCAGCAACGCCGCGUGAGGGAUGACGGCCUUCGGGUUGUAAACCUCUUUCAGCGGGGGCGAAGCGCAAGUGACGGUACCCGCAGAAGAAGCACCGGCCAACUACGUGCCAGCAGCCGCGGUA